AAAAAAUUAGGACUAAAAAUUAUAUGAUUUAAAUUUUAAAUAAAGCAUUUAUUCAUUUAUAAUAAUUUUGAAAUGAUUUUAUAUUAAAACUGUAAAAAUACACAUAAAUUAAGUUUACAAAAAAUAUUAUUUUAAUUAUUUUUAAUACUUCAUAAAUAAUUAACACAAUAUAUUUCAAUAUGUGCUAUAUCUUUAAUAAAAAUCUCAAUGCAUAAAGAUAAUUUAUAGUAUUAUUU
rnacentral:lncRNA from 1 species